UGCCGCUGUAACUCAGUUGGUAGAGUGUCUGGCUGUUAACCAGGUUGUCGCAGGUUCGAGCCCUGCCGGCGGCGU
rnacentral:tRNA from 2 species